GAUGAACGCUGGCGGCGUGCCUAAUACAUGCAAGUCGAGCGAACAGACGAGGAGCUUGCUCCUCUGACGUUAGCGGCGGACGGGUGAGUAACACGUGGAUAACCUACCUAUAAGACUGGGAUAACUUCGGGAAACCGGAGCUAAUACCGGAUAAUAUAUUGAACCGCAUGGUUCAAUAGUGAAAGACGGUUUUGCUGUCACUUAUAGAUGGAUCCGCGCCGCAUUAGCUAGUUGGUAAGGUAACGGCUUACCAAGGCAACGAUGCGUAGCCGACCUGAGAGGGUGAUCGGCCACACGGGAAGUGAGACACGGUCCAGACUCCUACGGGAGGCAGCAGUAGGGAAUCUUCCGCAAUGGGCGAAAGCUUGACGGAGCAACGCCGCGUGAGUGAUGAAGGUCUUCGGAUCGUAAAACUCUGUUAUUAGGGAAGAACAAAUGUGUAAGUAACUAUGCACGUCUUGACGGUACCUAAUCAGAAAGCCACGGCUAACUACGUG
rnacentral:rRNA from 1 species